rnacentral:tRNA from 1 species
GGGUGAUUAGCUCAGGGGUAGAGCGCUCGCUUUGCAUUGAGAUGAUUAUUCAACUGCUAAGCCUGCGAGAGGCCAAGGGUUCGAUUCCCUUAUCAUCCA